rnacentral:lncRNA from 1 species
GCCGGAGCACACCGCCCGACCCGUCGGCGGGACUGAAUACAGCUGGUGCAAAGCAGUCCCAGGCGGCACCGGCAUCACAGUCCUCGCUCUCCUCCUCUCCAAAUCCCCCAACAUCCCAGUUCUCCAAAACGCCCUCCGAACACUCCAGAUUUCCCACUCUAUCCUCCGCUCCAAGCUCCGCUUCACCGCCGCGGCGAACAAUUUCUCUUUCGUCACUCCGCCGCCGUCUACGACUACUGCCGAAGACAUCCAACUCCGCCGCCGUCUACGACUACUGCCGACGACAUCCAAAUCCGCCACUUCGAUCUCUCCACCACCGCCGACAUUAUCAAAUCCGGCGAGACCGAGGAGAUCGAGAAGUUUGGAAUCACUCCGCACCAGCUGCUGCUCGAGCACGAGAUGAACGAUAAUCCGUGGACCGAUCACGGAAACGACGAGGAUAAGGAGCUGUUCUUCGUGAGCUUGUACUCGUUGAGCGAGGCGCGGUGGAUGCUGGCGAUACGGCUCCACACGGGGGCGUGCGACCGGUCAUCGGCGGUUGCGCUGCUGGCGGAGCUAAUGGAGUUGAUCGGCGGUGGUGGAGUCUGCGGAGAGAAGGAAGAGAUUCAGCAGAGCGAGAUCGGAUUGGGGAUCGAGGAGUACAUUCCUCGAGGGAAGGCGAACAAGCCGUUCUGGGCGCGUGGGAAGGACAUGCUUGGAUAUUCGCUGAAUGCACUCAGGACGUCGAAUUUGGAGUUCGUCGACCCCGCCGGCGAGCCUCGCUGCUCGCGGAUGGUCCGCCUGGUGAUGACCUCCGACGACACCGCUAAGCUCGUUGCUG